GACUACAUCGUCUGCGACAGACUGCCCGGCUGAACAAGAGAACGGGGUGCGAGUCCCCACGCUGCCGGCACUGUAAGUGUCGAGACGGCCUGCCGUUGGUGAAAGCCAGUCAUUGGGGCGACCUGAGAAGGCAGGGCAGGUUUUGCUUGAGGCGCGAGUCGGGAGACCUACUGUUUCGUCAGAAUGUUG
rnacentral:ncRNA from 2 species